AAAACUAUAAUUUCAGGGACCUUUUGUACAGUUUGUUACUAGAGAAGUUUCUCUGAAUGUGUGGAGCCCCCAAGACCCUGAGGAGGAAGGAGAUGGGGUCUUCUCUCCUGCGUGUGAAGCCGGUUCUUGGUGUUGCUUAGUAACCGCCACUGAUGGUCAUUCUUCCCUUUUGAGGGAGUAGGAGGGAGAGAACACCAUCUUGUGUGGU